AUCACUGAGGUCUGCUCUAUUAAAAGUAUUUCUAUGGUGCUCCUAAAAGUGACGUGGCUUUCCCUCCAGCCGGAAGUAAGAUACGUUUGCUUGUUUGCUGCUGAGCAGCUGAAGAAACGCUCGAACUGACAGUAAAAACCUAAGCCAAGGGAUAACAAUGGUGACAGACGUGCAGCUGGCUAUAUUUGCCAACAUGCUUGGCGUGUCAUUGUUCCUGCUGGUGGUGUUAUA